GUAGCAUAAUAAUUUGUGGUUUAAAUGGUCACUGGUAUAAACGGCUUCACAUUGUUAAUUUUUCUUUUUCUUUACUAGUAAAUUUAGAGUUAAAGUAAAAAUACUUUAAUUAAUUAAAAAGACGAUAAGACCCUAAAAGCUUUAUUUUUUUUCUACUUAUUUAUAUAUUACAUGAGACUAAAAUUUUAACUGGGGUAGUUCUAUUUUUCUUAAAUUAGUAAAAUACUUUAAGGGUGAAUGACCCUCUCAUAGAGGUUUUUGUGUUAGUUACUUUAGGGAUAACAGCGUUAUAAAAUUAAAGAGAUCUUAUCCUCAAUUUUGAUUGCGACCUCGAUGUUGAAUUAACAAAUCCGAACAAGGCAGUCCUUGUAAAGGAAGGUUUGUUCAACCUUUAAUUUGUU
rnacentral:rRNA from 1 species